UAGAGACCAUCAGUGAUUUGAGUGGGAGAGCAAAGCGAAGCAGGAGCAUUGGGAUGAAGGAGGAAAGCUUCCUGGCCCCUGUGGUGAUAACCUAGCGCAGCUCUGCCUCUGGGGGAGCAGAUGCCAGCCUUUGGAGCAUGCUGCUGUCUGGUGUGUGCUCACACCUCUGAGGCAGUGGUGGGUCCUGAGCAGCCCUACAAUUGAAGGAUAACUUCCUGUUGCUCACACCCUGGCAGAGCUGCUGGCAUCCCUGCUGUUCCGUAUUCCUCCCCAGAAUCUGCAUUGUUCCAACAAUCAGCUGGAAGUUCCGACCCUUUGUGUGCUUAGUUCUAGCAUUUUGGGGCAGAUCGUUGAGGUGCUGGGCUGGCAGAGUGAGAGCCCUGUGGUCAGUCGGGCUGUGUGUCUGUCCCUAAGCCCUCGCUUUUCCCAGGAAUGGGAUGGCAAGAGCCCCAC